UGGGGAAUAUUGCACAAUGGGCGCAAGCCUGAUGCAGCCAUGCCGCGUGUGUGAAGAAGGCCUUCGGGUUGUAAAGCACUUUCAGCGGGGAGGAAGGCGGUGAGGUUAAUAACCUCACCGAUUGACGUUACCCGCAGAAGAAGCACCGGCUAACUCCGUGCCAGCAGCCGCGGUAAUACGGAGGGUGCAGGCGUUAAUCGGAAUUACUGGGCGUAAAGCGCACGCAGGCGGUCUGUCAAGUCGGAUGUGAAAUCCCCGGGCUCAACCUGGGAACUGCAUUCGAAACUGGCAGGCUAGAGUCUUGUAGAGGGGGGUAGAAUUCCAGGUGUAGCGGUGAAAUGCGUAGAGAUCUGGAGGAAUACCGGUGGCGAAGGCGGCCCCCUGGACAAAGACUGACGCUCAGGUGCGAAAGCGUGGGGAGCAAACAGG
rnacentral:rRNA from 1 species